rnacentral:rRNA from 1 species
UUAAAUUGAAGAGUUUGAUCAUGGCUCAGAUUGAACGCUGGCGGCAGGCCUAACACAUGCAAGUCGAACGGUAACAGGAAGAAGCUUG